GCAUGGAGGCUGUUUAUUUGAGUCGGAAGCCCACUGCAAAAUCUGUUUUGGAGUUUGUUCGAUCUGUCCAUGAUGAUACAAAUUUGUUAUGAUCAUAUUGCAUUUUGAAGUUUUGGGUAUUUUUCUUCCAUUUCUUUUCUACUUCCAAUUUCUGCUUAUUUUUUAUUCUUUCGUAUGUAUAUUAUUUUUUAAUGGUCACUUGUUGUGCAAUGUCUUUCUUUUAAGUCGUUGGCUACUUUGUAAAGAGAAGAACAAAGUGAACUAUGUUAUCGUUCUACUCUUUCUACCCCAUUUCUGUAAAGAAGCAAGAAAACACCUAACAGGCAUAUCAAU
rnacentral:lncRNA from 1 species